rnacentral:rRNA from 1 species
GUUUGAUCCUGGCUCAAGACGAACGCUGGCGGCGUGCCUAACACAUGCAAGUCGAGCGAUGAAAGAGAAGUGGCGGUCUUCAGACCAAAGCUUUUCUGGAUUAGCGGCGGACGGGUGAGUAACACGUGAGCACCCUGCCUAUCACAUCGGGAUAGCCUCGGGAAACUGGGAUUAAUACCGAAUGAAACAUAUUGGUAACCUUAUCGAAAUGUCAAAGAUUUAUCGGUGAUAGAUGGGCUCGCGUCUGAUUAGCUAGUUGGUGAGAUAAAACCCCACCAAGGCAAUGAUCAGUAGCCGGCCUGAGAGGGUGAUCGGCCACAUUGGGACUGAGACACGGCCCAAACUCCUACGGGAGGCAGCAGUGGGGAAUAUUGCACAAUGGAGGGAACUCUGAUGCAGCGACGCCGCGUGAGCGAAGAAGGAAUUCGUUUCGUAAAGCUCUGUCCUAUGGGAAGAUAAUGACGGUACCAUAGAAGAAAGCCCCGGCUAACUACGUGCCAGCAGCCGCGGUAAUACGUAGGGGGCGAGCGUUGUCCGGAAUUAUUGGGCGUAAAGGGUUCGUAGGCGGUAAUACAUGUCAGAUGUGAAAUACUCGGGCUUAACCUGAGUGCUGCAUUUCAAACUGGAAGUCUAGAGUGCAGGAGAGGAGAAGGGAAUUCCUAGUGUAGCGGUGAAAUGCGUAGAGAUUAGGAAGAACACCAGUGGCGAAGGCGCUUCUCUGGACUGUAACUGACGCUGAGGCUCGAAAGCGUGGGGAGCAAACAGGAUUAGAUACCCUGGUAGUCCACGCCGUAAACGAUGGAAUACUUAGGUGUAGGGGGUUUCAUGACCUCUGUGCCGCCGCUUAACGCAUUAAGUAUUCCCCCCUGGGGAGGUCGGUUCGCAAAGAUUAAAACUCAAAGGAAAUGACGGGGGCCCGCACAAGCAGCGGAGCAUGGGGUUAAUUCGAAGCAACGCGAAGAACCUUACCUUGACUUGACAUCUCCUGCAUUACUCUUAAUCGAGGAAGUCCCUUCGGGGACAGGAUGACAGGUGGUGCAUGGUUGUCGUCAGCUCGUGUCGUGAGAUGUUGGGUUAAGUCCCGCAACGAGCGCAACCCUUAUUGUUAGUUGCCAUCAUUAAGUUGGGCACUCUAGCGAGACUGCCCGGGUUAACCGGGAGGAAGGUGGGGAUGACGUCAAAUCAUCAUGCCCCUUAUGUCUAGGGCUACACACGUGCUACAAUGGUCGGUACAAUAAGACGCAAGCCCGCGAGGGGGAGCAAAACUGGAAAACCGAUCUCAGUUCGGAUUGUAGGCUGAAACUCGCCUACAUGAAGCUGGAGUUGCUAGUAAUCGCGAAUCAGCAUGUCGCGGUGAAUACGUUCCCGGACCUUGUACACACCGCCCGUCA